UGGUGAGGUAGAGGCGCGGCUUUCAACAGUCUUUAGUAGAGUUUGAGAUGCGGAGAAACUAAGGAGAAGGGUAGGUCGCCGAAGUUAAUAAUAUUCUCAGUAUUAUUAGCUGGGUCUGUAGUUAAGAGCUACAGGACUGUCUCAAUAAACUACCCAGUUUAUUGAGUUGAGCUAUCUCAUUU
rnacentral:ncRNA from 2 species